rnacentral:rRNA from 1 species
GUACCAAAAACCGACGGCCGGUUCUGCCGGUCUCACUCUUGGUGACUCUGAAUAAAGUAGCGGAUCGCACGGCCUUGCGCCGGCGACGGACCAUUCAAGUGUCUGCCCUAUCAGCUUUCGAUGGUAAGUGACCUGCUUACCAUGGCUUUCACGGGUAACGGGGAAUCAGGGUUCGAUUCCGGGGAGGGAGCAUGAGAAACGGCUACCACUUCCAAGGAAGGCAGCAGGCGCGCAAAUUACCCAAUCCCGACACGGGGAGGUAGUGACGAAAAAUAACAAUGCCGCCUUCUGCGAGGGAGGUAAUUGGAAUGAGCACAAUUUACAAACCUUAGCGAGGAUCUAUUGGAGGGCAAGUCUGGUGCCAGCAGCCGCGGUAAUUCCAGCUCCAAUAGCGUAUAUUAAAGUUGUUGCAGUUAAGAAGCUCGUAGUUGGAUCUCAGGAGCGAGAGGCGCGGCUGGGCGCGGCCUUCGCGCAAGCGGGGUCGUCGUUCCGGCCAGCCUGAAUCGUUCCCUCCGCAGGCUCUCCGGUCGUGCUAUUAGCUUGGUGCGGCCGGCAGGUCUGCCGCUUACUUUGGAG